UCCCUGGUGGUCCAGUGGUUAGGACUCGGUGCUCUCACUGCUGGGGGCCCCAGGUUCGAUCCCUGGUCAGGGAA